GAUGCUUCGCCCUUGCAAUCGCGUCGCGACUGUUUUGCCCUAAUCCACAGCGGGCGCCUCUCCCCUGCAUCGCGAAUACUCGGCUCCGCCCCCGCGGCCUCUCGAACACUCCCAAACCCUAGCUUUGGCGUGAACCCCAUGUCGGGGGCGUACGGAUCCGACGACUACCGCGGCGGCGGCGGCGGCGGCUACGGCGGCCGAGGCGGCGGCGGCAGCGGAGGUGGUCGUGGGCGCGGCGGUGGGGGAGGAUAUGGCGGCAGCGGUGGCGGUGGUGGAGGAUAUGGAGGUGGUGGCGGUGGGGGAGGGUACGGCGGUGGCGGGAGAGGGGGGGGCGGUGGAGGAGGAGGCUACGGCGGCGGUGGCGGCGGCGGUGGCGGGAGAGGUGGCGGGCGCGGGGGUGGACGCGAAGGCGACUGGACUUGCCCUGAUGCAAGCUGUCUUAAUGUGAACUUUGCAAGGAGGACUGAGUGCAAUAAGUGUGGGGCAGUUAACCCAAGUGGAGGUGGAGGUGGUGGUGGUGGCGGCGGGUACGAUAGGUCUGGUGGAGGUGGAGGUGGAGGUGGAGGGUACAAUCGUGGUGGUGGUGAUCAUGGUUCAGGAGGUGGUGGCUACAGCAGAGGUGAUGGGGAUUACAACUCUGGUGGUCGUGAUGGUGGUGCUGGAGGAGCAAGAGGAGGAUAUAAUCGUGAUGGUGGUAGCGGCCGUGGUUUUGAUGACCACCGUGGUGGGAGCGGUGGUGGUUAUGGAAGAGGCCAAGAGAACAACCAAGGUGACGGUGGCUAUGGACAGGCUCCCCCUAAAGGCCCUCCAUCCUAUGGCGCUCCUCCAGGUGACUACGCACCGCCCCCAAGUUCCUAUGGAGGCAACAAUGUGUACAGUUCAGACUCUGCAGUGCCACCCCCUAACAGCUAUGGUGGCGGUCGAGGCCCUUACCCACCAAGCUAUGGUGCCCCACCUCCGAACCCAUAUAGUGGCGGUGCCCCAGGGGGGCAAGGAGGCCUGCCACCUACAUAUGAUGGUGGUCGGUCUGCGCCUGGGGGUGGAGGCGCAGGUGGUGCUCCACCUUCUUAUCAUGGCGGAGGCGGAGGCGGCGGUGGUUAUUCUGCAAAUGCUACCCCUGAACCUACUACAAAGGUUAAGCAGUGUGAUGCAAACUGUGGUGAUUCCUGCGACAAUGCAAGGAUUUACAUCUCAAACCUGCCUCCAGAUGUGACUGUUGAGGAACUGCAAGAGCUUUUUGGAGGAAUUGGCCAGGUUGGAAGGAUCAAGCAAAAACGUGGCUACAAAGACCAGUGGCCCUGGAACAUAAAAAUCUACACUGAUGAUUCUGGGAAAGCCAAAGGAGAUGCUUGCCUUGCUUAUGAAGAUCCUUCUGCUGCUCAUUCAGCUGGAGGAUUCUACAACGAUUAUGACAUGAGAGGCCGUAAAAUUAGUGUUGUGAUGGCUGAGAAAUCAGCACCUAGAGCUCCUACAUCUGGCCAUGGAGGCGGACGCGGUGGAGGCGGUGGCUAUGGCGGGGACAGACGCAGAGAUGGAGGAGGCCAUGGGCCUAACAGAAACCAGGGUGGUGGUUCACGUUCGCGGCCGUACUGAAAAGAGUCAUAUAAUUACUAAGAUUGUCAUCUGCAAGAAACCAUUUAUAUUCAUGUUCUCUCUGGACUUGUACUCAUACAGGAGAUCGUAAGAGGCAGCUGGAUAAGCUCCAAAUGCCGAUAUGUUUGAGAUGUUAUUACAGCCGGUGGAUCACUGCUGUAAGCUUUGGAUUUUGCUUUGGAGAACAGGUAGGGCGUUUUUGUUGUGUGGUUGAUUCGCUUGAUCCAGGAUAGUCUGCUAGCGAUGUGUUUCUGUGAAUCUUAGAUGUAUCAAAGAAUCUUCGUAGACUUGCACCUCAGUGAUUUUUUCCAUCUAUUUGUAAAAUUUAAUUUACUUGAAGUAAAGCCUUUAUGAAUACGAGGAAAUUAGCAGCUAUUAACGACA